rnacentral:RNase_P_RNA from 14 species
GCACAAGUCAAUCGCAGGUAUAAUCAAAAUAUUAUUUUAUAAAUAUAAAUUAUAUUUUGAUUAAUAUUUGAGGAAAGUCCGCGCUAGCACUACCUGUGAUGGUAGUAGUGUUCAUGUUGGGUCUAAUAAACCCAAGCUUAGACGACAAGUGCCACAGAGACGAGCUUAUUUAUUAAAUUCUUCUUUUUCUAUAUUGAGAAUUACAAUUUUUUUCUUAAUAAAUAAGGUGAAACGCGGUAAACUCCAUGAGCUAGAAACCUAAAUUUUGGUAAGGGAGCCCAAUUUGAAGAAAAAAAACUUCGAUUGGGAAGUUUUUUGAUAAGGUUAUUAUUAAAAGAAAAACUUAGAUAAAUGAUUGACUGAUACAGAACGCGGCUUAUUAGUGCAAAAACAGCGUAAAA